UAAUUCAGAUCUGUCAUCCUCCAUGCCUUUGAGAUUAAGGGUUGCAGAAUAUGGUCUCAGUGGAGAAGAGAUUCUGUGAACUAUCAGAAAGGGAAACUGUCUUUGAUAAGCUGAAACUCUUAAUUCAAAAAUAAAAGAGCCUGAAUUGAACCCAGUGUGUUCCAGGUACAUUAUGUUCAUGUUCUCGUUAAAUUCUCACAACAUCCUGAGAGAAACCAGAAUUACUACAUGGAAAUGAGACAGAAAAUGCUAUUAAGGUGAAGAAAAUUAUAUGGGUUUUUGGGGAUUGGAUGAUUUCCUCAAGGUCACUUUUGAUAUCAUGUAUUUGACUUCAAAAUUUAUGAUCUACCUAGUAUAUUCAUACAUCCAAUGAAUACCAGUUUAUUGAACACUUCAUAUUUUCCUGUUCUAGGAUUACAGAUUAACAACUUUCCCAACUAGAUGAAAAGCUGCCUGUACUGAUGAACAAUACAGCUUUGUUAUGGGAGACUGCCAUUCAGAUUGUUUCCUGCUGAGAAGAGCAGCCAAUUGGCCUCUUAUCUCAGGACACCAUAUUCUUUACUACAUGGCUUCACCACUAAGAUUAUGAAACUUUAUAUGUGCCGCAAGAUUUUAAAUCAAAUAUGUGUACUUUAUUUAGCCAACUUGUAAGGAAAAUGCCAAAUGCCACAAUCUAUAUACCAUUCCAGUUGAAGAUAUUUUUGUUAAUUUUUAAAAUAACAAGUGAAAGAGAUUCAUUAUACCUAUUUCCAGUCCAUAUAUAAUCCCUAAAAUUAUCUUUGGCCAGUGGUGUCACCCUUCUAGUCUAUCAACUCUUUGAAUAAACAGUUAAAUGCACUAACUUGACUUCCAUGGAUUUUCAUUGUCUUAAUGUGUCAUCAUAUAAAAAUGUUAAUGAAGCAUGAAGUUGCCAAAUAACAAGUACAAGGAUAUACUAAUUUGGAUGUGUUUGGAUGCAUGCGAUAAGAAACUCAACUCAAAGUGUCUCACAUGGUGAAGAAAAUCUAUUACAGCACAUUGCAGUUCUAUCAAAGGAGGGUAGCUCCCAGGUGGGUGAAUUUAGUGGCUCAAAAACUACAUCAAGGAUCCAAGUUUUUGCUGUUCUUAUACUCUGCCAUAUUUCAUGGAUUAGCUUUAUUUUCAAGGCAGCCCUCCCUGUGAUUUCCACUGCAGUUCCAUAGGAAGACCUGCAAAUUCCAUGAGAAGAAGAGGGAUAUUUUUAUCCAGUGUCCAAAUUAUGAGAGGUAAGGGGAGGCAAGACAUCUUUCCCAGAAGCCUCCGCAUUCUUCUCUGUCUCUUUAUUGACCAGACAUGCUCCUGUGCUCAUGCUUAAACUGAUUACUGACAAGCAGGAGAAUCACAGCUUCCCGGUGAGCACAUGACCACGUGGAAGAUGUUGGAUGGCUGAACAAAAUGGAUACUCUGUAAGUAAGUAAGAAAGACGGGGCUGAAGAUUUGCUGAGUGGGCACAUUUAAUAAGAGGCAGAGCAAGAAAACAGCGGAUAAGUUUCAAGCAGUACAACUUAACAAUUUGACUUUUUAAGGGUAUAUGUAUUCCUCCAAUAUGCCUUGUGGACCAGAGUCAGGCGGCUCCUUACUGACUUGGCCACGAUUCCAAAGUUCUAUCAGCCCCACUACGCCUCGUUCUGUACUGCCCUAUUUUAUUCUAUAUUGCUUUAACUUAUUAUUUUAAUUCCUUUAAUAUGUGUCUUACCUCACCAGGUUGACCUUGAGCCCCCUGGGUUCGGGGCAUUAUCUCCCUUGCCCCUUCUUGUCUCUUUCCUGGCUCUCACUCUUACCCACCCCCCUUUGUCUAAACUUCUUACUGGUCAGUUGCUUGUUUGAUACCUUAAGAUUCUGAUGGAUAUUAAAGUCCUGUAUGCCCUUGUCAAAAGAUGGGAGUAAAUUCUUUCCUACAUGCCUUCUCUGAGUUUAGCCAAUGCCAAGUUCAUUAUAGGUUC